UUUCCGUAGGUGAACCUGCGGAAGGAUCAUUAUUGCAUACCCGAGGGGGGAGGUCUGUCUCUUACACGAUAGUUCCUGGACGCCCUAGUGCCCAUUCACAAAUCCAUCUCAUACCAAUGUGAAAAACCGCAACAAUCCACCUUUGGCAUCUCCGGACGGGGGCGUACGCGUUCACACGAACUAUGCAUGCGAUGGAGAGUGUAUUCUUUGUUUUUGCGGUCACGCAAUCAAUACAACUUUCAACACCGGAUCUCUUGGCUCUCGAAUCGAUGAAGAACG
rnacentral:misc_RNA from 1 species